AGGUAUUGUGGCCAGUAUUUUGGUUUUCUUAUGUUUUGGAGUCACACAAGCUAAAGACGGGCCAUUUUCCAGACCUCAUCCAGCUUACUGGAG
rnacentral:misc_RNA from 1 species